CAAAUAUGGAUGAAUUUGUUUUUCUUCUCUGCUGAUGGUGGGACUGCAAUACUGAAGGACUUGUUUAUGAAAAUGCUAUUGCAAAUGUGAGAAUCAGAACAUGCCUGCCUCCCUAACAGAACUACGUAGGAAACUUGGGGAAGACAAAGAUGAGUUUUCUGAGUGGUGCUGAAUAUAUCAGUUAUAUCCCUGGGAUUUAGCCAUAAAACAACGAAGAGAGGUACAGAACUAUUACACCUCACAACUCG